rnacentral:rRNA from 1 species
ACUCCUACGGGAGGCAGCAGUGGGGAAUAUUGCACAAUGGGGCGCAAGCCUGAUGCAGCCAUGCCGCGUGUAUGAAGAAGGCCUUCGGGUUGUAAAGUACUUUCAGCAGUGAGGAAGGCGGGUACGUUAAUAGCGUGCUCGUUUGACGUUAGCUGCAGAAGAAGCACCGGCUAACUCCGUGCCAGCAGCCGCGGUAAUACGGAGGGUGCGAGCGUUAAUCGGAAUUACUGGGCGUAAAGCGCAUGCAGGUGGUUUGUUAAGUCAGAUGUGAAAGCCAGGGGCUCAACCUCGGAAUUGCAUUUGAAACUGGCAGACGUAGAGUACUGUAGAGGGGGGUGAAAUUUCAGGUGUAGCGGUGAAAUGCGUAGAGAUCUGAAGGAAUACCCGGU